rnacentral:rRNA from 1 species
AUACGUAGGUGGCAAGCGUUAUCCGGAAUUAUUGGGCGUAAAGAGGGAGCAGGCGGCAGCAAGGGUCUGUGGUGAAAGCCUGAAGCUUAACUUCAGUAAGCCAUAGAAACCAGGCAGCUAGAGUGCAGGAGAGGAUCGUGGAAUUCCAUGUGUAGCGGUGAAAUGCGUAGAUAUAUGGAGGAACACCAGUGGCGAAGGCGACGAUCUGGCCUGCAACUGACGCUCAGUCCCGAAAGCGUGGGGAGCAAAUAGGAUUAGAUACCCUAGUAGUCCACGCCGUAAACGAUGAGUACUAAGUGUUGGAUGUCAAAGUUCAGUGCUGCAGUUAACGCAAUAAGUACUCCGCCUGAGUAGUACGUUCGCAAGAUUAAAACUCAAAGGAAUUGACGGGG